rnacentral:rRNA from 1 species
AGGCCGAAAGGCGUAGUCGAUGGGAAACAGGUUAAUAUUCCUGUACCGCGCGUAACUGCGACGGGGUGACGGAGAAGGCUAGGCUGGCCUGGUGAUGGUUAUCCAGGUUUAAGCAAGUAGGCUUGAGAUUUAGGCAAAUCCGGAUCUCUUUAAGGCCGAGACGUGAUGACGAACCGAACCUAUAGGAUCGGGAAGUAGUCGAUGCCACGCUUCCAAGAAAAACCUCUAAGCUUCAGGUUACGAACGAUCGUACCCCAAACCGACACAGGUGGACAGGUA